rnacentral:rRNA from 1 species
GACGAACGCUGGCGGCGUGCUUAACACAUGCAAGUCGAACGGAAAGGCCCUGCGUUUGUGGGGUGCUCGAUUGGCGAACGGGUGAGUAACACGUGAGUAACCUGCCCUUGACUUUGGGAUAACUUCAGGAAACUGGGGCUAAUACCGGAUAGGAGCUCCUGCUGCAUGGUGGGGGUUGGAAAGUUUCGGCGGUUGGGGAUGGACUCGCGGCUUAUCAGCUUGUUGGUGGGGUAGUGGCUUACCAAGGCUUUGACGGGUAGCCGGCCUGAGAGGGUGACCGGCCACAUUGGGACUGAGAUACGGCCCAGACUCCUACGGGAGGCAGCAGUGGGGAAUAUUGCACAAUGGGCGGGAGCCUGAUGCAGCAACGCCGCGUGCGGGAUGACGGCCUUCGGGUUGUAAACCGCUUUCGCCUGAGACGAAGCGUGAGUGACGGUAAUGGGUAAAGAAGCACCGGCUAACUACGUG